rnacentral:rRNA from 1 species
CUGUUGUUAGGGAAGAACAAGUGCUAGUUGAAUAAGCUGGCACCUUGACGGUACCUAACCAGAAAGCCACGGCUAACUACGUGCCACCACCCGCGGUAAUACGUAGGUGGCAAGCGUUAUCCGGAAUUAUUGGGCGUAAAGCGCGCGCAGGUGGUUUCUUAAGUCUGAUGUGAAAGCCCACGGUUCAACCGUGGAGGGUCAUUGGAAACUGGGAGACUUGAGUGCAGAAAAGGAAAGUGGAAUUCCAUGUGUAGCGGUGAAAUGCGUAAAGAUAUGGAGGAACACCAGGGGCGAAGGCGACUUUCUGGUCUGUAACUGACACUGAGGCGCGAAAGCGUGGGGAGCAAACAGGAUUAAAUACCCUGGUAGUCCACGCCGUAAACAAUGAGUGCUAAGUGUUAGAGGGUUUCCGCCCUUUAGUGCUGAAGUUAACGCAUUAAGCACUCCGCCUGGGGAGUACGGCCGCAAGGCUGAAACUCAAAGGAUUUGACGGGGGCCCGCACAAGCGGUGGAGCAUGUGGUUUAAUUCGAAGCAACGCAAAAAACCUUACCAGGUCUUGACAUCCUCUGAAAACCCUAGAGAUAGGGCUUCUCCUUCGGGAGCAGAGUGACAGGUGGUGCAUGGUUGUCGUCAGCUCGUGUCGUGAGAUGUUGGGUUAAGUCCCGCAACGAGCGCAACCCUUGAUCUUAUUUGCCAUCAUUAAGUUGGGCACUCUAAGGUGACUGCCGGUGACAAACCGGAGGAAGGUGGGGAUGACGUCAAAUCAUCAUGCCCCUUUAUGACCUGGGCUACACACGUGCUACAAUGGGACGGUAC